UGUAACGUAAUUGAUGUUUUAUAAUAAUGCCUUAAUUUUAUGGCUAUUUGACAGAAUUUAUGCUAAUGUCUGAACUUUUAUGAAAGUAAGGGAGGUAAAAUUUGGCAUCGGACUUUUCCACUUUGGAUAUAAUUUCGUUCGCCAGUUCUACAGCACAGCUUUGUCCGUCCUGAUGAUUUUAAUAUCGCUGGAUUUAACAGACGACAAAUACAUUUAUACGUAACAAUACUAGAAUUCUGAUGAACGUUAAUCUCAGCGC